rnacentral:rRNA from 1 species
AUUGAACGCUGGCGGCAUGCUUUACACAUGCAAGUCGAACGGCAGCGCGGGCUUCGGCCUGGCGGCGAGUGGCGAACGGGUGAGUAAUACAUCGGAACGUGCCCGGUAGUGGGGGAUAGCUCGGCGAAAGCCGGAUUAAUACCGCAUACGACCUGAGGGUGAAAGCGGGGGAUCUUCGGACCUCGCGCUAUUGGAGCGGCCGAUGGCAGAUUAGCUAGUUGGUGGGGUAAAGGCCUACCAAGGCGACGAUCUGUAGCUGGUCUGAGAGGACGACCAGCCACACUGGAACUGAGACACGGCCCAGACUCCUACGGGAGGCAGCAGUGGGGAAUUUUGGACAAUGGGCGAAAGCCUGAUCCAGCAAUGCCGCGUGUGUGAUGAAGGCCUUCGGGUUGUAAAGCACUUUUGGCGGGAACGAAAAGGACUGUGCCAAUACCACGCUUCGAUGACGGUACCCGCAGAAUAAGCACCGGCUAACUACGUG